rnacentral:rRNA from 1 species
GAUGAACGCUGGCGGCGUGCUUAACACAUGCAAGUCGAACGGAGUGCCUUUGAAAGAGGAUUCGUCCAAUUGAUAAGGUUACUUAGUGGCGGACGGGUGAGUAAUACGUAGAUAAUCUGCCUUUUAGAGGGAAAUAACAAGAAGAAAUUUUUGCUAAUGUCCCAUAAGACCACAUUGUGGCAUCACAAAGUGAUCAAAGGAGAAAUCCGCUAAAAGAUGAGUCUACGGCUGAUUAGCCAGUUGGCGGGGUAAAGGCCCACCAAAGCUAUGAUCAGUAGCCGAGCUGAGAGGCUGGCCGGCCACAUUGGGACUGAGACACGGCCCAG